CUUUUGCUUCGUCUUAGGAUGAGCUCGCGGUCUAUUAGCUAGUUGGUAGGGUAAUAGCCUACCAAGGCGACGAUAGAUAGCCGGCCUGAGAGGGUGUACGGCCACAUUGGGACUGAGACACGGCCCAGACUCCUACGGGAGGCAGCAGCUAAGAAUAUUCCGCAAUGGGAGCAAUCCUGACGGAGCGACGCCGCGUGGAUGAUGAAGGCCGAAAGGUUGUAAAAUCCUUUUAUAUGGGAAGAAUAAAAGCAAGAGUAGAAUGCUUGUUUGAUGACGGUACCAUAUGAAUAAGCCCCGGCUAACUAUGUGCCAGCAGCCGCGGUAAUACGUAGGGGGCAAGCGUUGUUCGGAUUUACUGGGCGUAAAGGGCAUCUAGGCGGUUAUGUAAGUGUGGAUUAAAAGGCAGAGGCUUAACCUCUUGUUCGGUCUGCAAACUACAUAACUAGAGUACAGAAGGGGAAACUGGAAUUCCGCAAGUAGGGGUGAAAUCUGUAGAUAUGCGGAAGAAUACCGGUGGCGAAGGCGAGUUUCUGGUCUGUAACUGACGCUGAAAUGCGAAAGUGCGGGGAGCAAACAGGAUUAGAUACCCUGGUAGUCCGCACCGCAAACGUUGUACACUAGGUGUUAGAGGAGUUAUCCUCUAGUGUCGUAGCUAACGCGUUAAGUGUACCGCCUGGGGAGUAUGCUCGCAAGGGUGAAACUCAAAGGAAUUGACGGGGGCCCGCACAAGCGGUGGAGCAUGUGGUUCAAUUCGAUACGCGAAAAACCUUACCUGGGCCUGACAUAUACCGGACAGCUGUAGAGAUACAGCCUCCCUUUGGGUCGGUAUACAGGUGCUGCAUGGCUGUCGUCAGCUCGUGUUGUGAGAUGUUGGGUUAAGUCCCGCAACGAGCGCAACCCUUACUGCUAGUUGCCAUCAGGUAAUGCUGGGAACUCUAGUGGAACUGCCGGUGACAAACCGGAGGAAGGUGGGGAUGACGUCAAGUCCUCAUGGCCCUUAUGUCCAGGGCCACACACGUGCUACAAUGGGCUGUACAAAAGGUUGCAAUACCGCAAGGUGGAGCCAAUCCUAAAAAACAGUCCUCAGUUCAGAUUGGAGUCUGCAACUCGACUCCAUGAAGCUGGAAUCGCUAGUAAUCGCAGAUCAGAAUGCUGUGGUGAAUGCGUUCCCGGGCCUUGUACACACCGCCCGUCACACCAUCCGAGUAGAGGACACCCGAAGUUAUUACCCUAACCGCAAGGAGGGGGGUACCUAAGGUGUGUUUUGUGAGGAGGGUGAAGUCGUAACAAGGUA
rnacentral:rRNA from 1 species